UGGGAAUGGAUCCUUCUUGGGCAUCCCAUCUGCUAGUGUGAGGUGUCACACCAGUACAUCUCCUCUCUCAUUUGGUUCUUUUAUGAAGGCAGCACAUUUCCUCCCUCGUUUGGUUCUCUUGCGAAGGUAAUUGGAUUGGAGUUCAUCCUGCUUUCCCGAGGUAUCUGGUAUACAUACGAAGUAGAGAGUAUGUAUAUCCAAGCCUCUAUGAAGGUUUAAUCUAGAUAAAUUGAGAUUUGAUCUCUGGUUCUACUGCUAAUCAGGUAAGAAUUUGAUCCUUAAUCAUGUAGAUGAAUAGAAAAAUUUUUAGAUGCAACCUGGGCAAUCAGAGGAGAAAUAGUUUCUUUUCCUUCAUCUAUUUCGAAGCAACUAUCCAUUGAUGGUCCCUGAGACAUACCAAACACAUUCAGUCUCAAUUUCUUAUUCCCAAAUGAUAUGUCCAUGACUCCUAUCCUACAAUUG
rnacentral:lncRNA from 1 species